rnacentral:rRNA from 1 species
UAGUGAAAACACAACACUAUUUGCCAGAGAAUUACAAGUAAAAACUAGAAACUCCAAGGACUUGGCGGUGCCCCAUGUCAUCCUAGAGGAGCCUGUCCUAUAAUCGAUACCCCCCGAUCCACCCCACCACCUCUUGAAACUCAGCCUAUAUACCGCCGUCGCCAGCCUACCCUGUGAAGCAACAAUAGUAAGCAAGACCGUCAUUGACUAACACGUCAGGUCAAGGUGUAGCAUACGAGGUGGAAGAGAUGGGCUACACUCUCUUACUAAGAGGAAACACACAGCAAAAUGAAACACCAGCCCAAAGGAGGAUUUAGCAGUAAAACGGACAAGAAAGUCCGUCUAAAACCCAGCCCUGGGGCACGCACACACCGCCCGU